rnacentral:sRNA from 1 species
GUUGGAAGUAUUCAAAACAACAUAGCGAGUUAAAAUAAGGCUUAGUCCGUAAUCAACUUUCUAGUGGCGCUGUUUCGGCGCUUUUUU